rnacentral:rRNA from 1 species
UACGUAGGGUGCGAGCGUUAAUCGGAAUUACUGGGCGUAAAGCGUGCGCAGGCGGUUUUGUAAGUCAGAUGUGAAAUCCCCGAGCUCAACUUGGGAACUGCGUUUGAAACUACAAGGCUAGAGUAUGGUAGAGGGGGGUAGAAUUCCACGUGUAGCAGUGAAAUGCGUAGAGAUGUGGAGGAAUACCAAUGGCGAAGGCAGCCCCCUGGACUAAUACUGACGCUCAUGCACGAAAGCGUGGGGAGCAAACAGG